GGGUCCGGACACACUGAGGAUUGACAGACAAAUAUAGAAAUUUUAUAUUUCUCAUAUAUAAAGAUGCUAGUUCUUUCAUGAUUAUGUGAUAGGUGGUGCAUGGCCGUUCUUAGUUCGUGGAGUGAUCUGUCUGCUUAAUUGCGUUUCAAUUUUUAUUAUGUAUACGUAUGACCCACGUUUACGCGUGCGAGUCUAGUAUGCUAUCAUUUGAAAGCAACGAACGUGACCGUAUCCUUUUAUUAUAUACGCACGCGUAUAUUUAUUCAUUAAAGGGACCGCUGUUUCUUUUUUUAAACCAGAGGAAGGUUACGGCAAUAAC
rnacentral:rRNA from 1 species